AAGAUCAUGCUUCACAGGAUCAGUUCUGUAGGCGUUGAUCUCACUCUCUAUCCCUAACACGGGAGUUGUUGUAACUACCAUGAAGAGAAAUGGCUCUCUUCCCUGAGCGUGAGAACGACACGAGAUCUCGACUCUGUUCAAGAUCUCUGUCAUCGAUGAUCGUUCACCCUCUGUACUCAGUACAGAGGGGAUGGGAGGUAGGGCUUUCUGAGUGGU
rfam:Cerapachys biroi unplaced genomic scaffold scaffold800, whole genome shotgun sequence.